UGAGGAAUAUUGGUCAAUGGGCGCAAGCCUGAACCAGCCAUCCCGCGUGCAGGAAGACGGCCCUAUGGGUUGUAAACUGUUUUUCCAGGGGGAGAAUUUUUCUGUCGUGACAGGAAUUGACGGUACCCUGGGAAUAAGCAUCGGCUAACUCCGUGCCAGCAGCCGCGGUAAUACGGAGGAUGCAAGCGUUAUCCGGAUUCAUUGGGUUUAAAGGGUGCGUAGGCGGACUAUUAAGUCAGUGGUGAAAUCCUGCAGCUUAACUGCAGAACUGCCAUUGAUACUGAUAGCCUUGAGUUUGGUUAAGGUAGGCGGAAUGUGUAAUGUAGCGGUGAAAUGCUUAGAUAUUACACAGAACACCAAUUGCGUAGGCAGCUUACUGAGCCGACACUGACGCUGAGGCACGAAAGCGUGGGGAUCGAACA
rnacentral:rRNA from 1 species